GAUGAACGCUGGCGGCGUGCCUAAUACAUGCAAGUCGAGCGAACGGACGAGAAGCUUGCUUCUCUGAUGUUAGCGGCGGACGGGUGAGUAACACGUGGAUAACCUACCUAUAAGACUGGGAUAACUUCGGGAAACCGGAGCUAAUACCGGAUAAUAUUUUGAACCGCAUGGUUCAAAAGUGAAAGACGGUCUUGCUGUCACUUAUAGAUGGAUCCGCGCUGCAUUAGCUAGUUGGUAAGGUAACGGCUUACCAAGGCAACGAUGCAUAGCCGACCUGAGAGGGUGAUCGGCCACACUGGAACUGAGACACGGUCCAGACUCCUACGGGAGGCAGCAGUAGGGAAUCUUCCGCAAUGGGCGAAAGCCUGACGGAGCAACGCCGCGUGAGUGAUGAAGGUCUUCGGAUCGUAAAACUCUGUUAUUAGGGAAGAACAUAUGUGUAAGUAACUGUGCACAUCUUGACGGUACCUAAUCAGAAAGCCACGGCUAACUACGUGCCAGCAGCCGCGGUAAUACGUAGGUGGCAAGCGUUAUCCGGAAUUAUUGGGCGUAAAGCGCGCGUAGGCGGUUUUUUAAGUCUGAUGUGAAAGCCCACGGCUCAACCGUGGAGGGUCAUUGGAAACUGGAAAACUUGAGUGCAGAAGAGGAAAGUGGAAUUCCAUGUGUAGCGGUGAAAUGCGCAGAGAUAUGGAGGAACACCAGUGGCGAAGGCGACUUUCUGGUCUGUAACUGACGCUGAUGUGCGAAAGCGUGGGGAUCAAACAGGAUUAGAUACCCUGGUAGUCCACGCCGUAAACGAUGAGUGCUAAGUGUUAGGGGGUUUCCGCCCCUUAGUGCUGCAGCUAACGCAUUAAGCACUCCGCCUGGGGAGUACGACCGCAAGGUUGAAACUCAAAGGAAUUGACGGGGACCCGCACAAGCGGUGGAGCAUGUGGUUUAAUUCGAAGCAACGCGAAGAACCUUACCAAAUCUUGACAUCCUUUGACAACUCUAGAGAUAGAGCCUUCCCCUUCGGGGGACAAAGUGACAGGUGGUGCAUGGUUGUCGUCAGCUCGUGUCGUGAGAUGUUGGGUUAAGUCCCGCAACGAGCGCAACCCUUAAGCUUAGUUGCCAUCAUUAAGUUGGGCACUCUAAGUUGACUGCCGGUGACAAACCGGAGGAAGGUGGGGAUGACGUCAAAUCAUCAUGCCCCUUAUGAUUUGGGCUACACACGUGCUACAAUGGACAAUACAAAGGGCAGCGAAACCGCGAGGUCAAGCAAAUCCCAUAAAGUUGUUCUCAGUUCGGAUCGUAGUCUGCAACUCGACUACAUGAAGCUGGAAUCGCUAGUAAUCGUAGAUCAGCAUGCUACGGUGAAUACGUUCCCGGGUCU
rnacentral:rRNA from 1 species